CCUACGGGAGGCAGCAGUGGGGAAUAUUGCACAAUGGGGGAAACCCUGAUGCAGCGACGCCGCGUGAGUGAAGAAGUAUUUCGGUAUGUAAAGCCCUAUCAGCAGGGAAGAAAAUGACGGUACCUGAUUAAGAAGCCCCGGCUAACUACGUGCCAGCAGCCGCGGUAACACGAAGGGGGCAAGCGUUAUCCGGAUUUACUGGGUGUAAAGGGGGCGUAGACGGCAGCACAAGUCUGGAGGUAAAUGCCGGGGCUUAACCCCGGACCUGCUUUGGAAACUGUGAAGCUAGAGUGCAGGAGAGGUAAGUGGAAUGCCUAGUGUAGCGGUGAAAUGCAUAGAUAUUAGGAAGAACACCAGUGGCGAAGGCAGCUUACUGGACUGUAACUGACGUUGAGGCUCGAAAGCGUGGGGAGCAAACAGGAUUAGAUACCCUUGUAGUC
rnacentral:rRNA from 1 species